AGAAUCAACGCUGGCGGCGUGCCUAACACAUGCAAGUCGCACGAGAAAGGGGAGCAAUCCCUGAGUACAGUGGCGCACGGGUGAGUAACACGUGAAUCAUCUACCUCCGAGUGGGGAAUAACUGAGAGAAAUCUUAGCUAAUACCGCAUAACACUUACGAGUCAAAGCAGCAAUGCGCUUGGAGAGGAGUUCGCGGCAGAUUAGUUAGUUGGCGGGGUAAUGGCCCACCAAGACGAUGAUCUGUAUCCGGCCUGAGAGGGCGCACGGACACACUGGAACUGAAACACGGUCCAGACUCCUACGGGAGGCAGCAGUGGGGAAUUUUGCGCAAUGGGGAAACCCUGACGCAGCAACGCCGCGUGGAGGAUGAAGCCCUUGGGGUGUAAACUCCUUUCGAUCGGGAAGAUAAUGACGGUACCGAUAGUAAGAAGCCCGGCUAACUUCGUGCCAGCAGCCGCGGUAA
rnacentral:rRNA from 1 species